UACGAAGGGUGCAAACGUUGCUCGGAAUUAUUGGGCGUAAAGCGCACGUAGGCGGCUUUGCAAGUCCCAUGUGAAAUCCCACGGCUUAACCGUGGAAGUGCAUGGGAAACUGCAGAGCUUGAGUACUUAAGAGGAUCGCGGAAUUCCCGGUGUAGAGGUGAAAUUCGUAGAUAUCGGGAGGAACACCAGUGGCGAAGGCGGCACGCUGGGCCGGUACUGACGCUGAGGAGCGAAAGCGUGGGGAGCGAACAGG
rnacentral:rRNA from 1 species